rnacentral:rRNA from 1 species
UACGUAGGGUGCAAGCGUUGUCCGGAAUUAUUGGGCGUAAAGAGCUCGUAGGCGGUUUGUCGCGUCGGCUGUGAAAACUCGGGGCUCAACCCCGAGCCUGCAGUCGAUACGGGCAGACUAGAGUGCUGUAGGGGAGACUGGAAUUCCUGGUGUAGCGGUGAAAUGCGCAGAUAUCAGGAGGAACACCGGUGGCGAAGGCGGGUCUCUGGGCAGUAACUGACGCUGAGGAGCGAAAGCGUGGGGAGCGAACAG